ACAGAAGUGACACAAUCUGACUUUCUUUUAAAAGGAACACUCUGCUAUUGUGCUAAGGAUAGACUGCAGAGGCGAGGCUGAAACAUGGGGGACCAGUUAGGAGGCUGUUCCCAUAAUCCAGGACCCAGAACUCCAGCUUCAGAGUCCAGUGCUGCUAAGCCAUAGUUUCUUAGCACUUCCCCUGUAAGUUACUAUGAAAAGAAGUCUGGAAAAAUGCUACCGUCAAGAAGUUUGAAAGUCAAUGUGUCCUCUUUUAUGCUUUCUUUUGUCUGUGAAAAGCUAAUGUCAAAUCUUUACCUUUGUGCAGGGAUAUAUUUUUUGAUGGUUCAGUGAAUUGUUCUCUCCCAAACAGUAAUAAUUUUGAGUAACUCUUGUUCUAUCUGUACAUAAAAAACACAGUGUGUGCUUAUAGAGCUGUCAGAAUCUGCGAGGAAAUAAAUUUUAAUUCCAUGGCAA
rnacentral:lncRNA from 10 species